GCCAGUGUGCUCAGUGGUUAGAGCAUUGGCCUGCACACCAAAGGGUCCCGGGUUCAAUUCCCAGUCAAGGGCA
rnacentral:tRNA from 1 species